ensembl:lncRNA
UCAAAAUUCUGAAAACAGCAUUUCAUCUAGCCAGUGUUCUCUAAGUGUACUUCCCAAUACAAAUGGGCCUCCGCAUCAGAAACACGUCAGAACCAACUGGCAAAACAUCCACAUAGCACUUCGAGCUCAAAAGAGAAGUUGCCAGGCGCACAUUGCUGAACUUACUGGGUCUGGGAGCUCGUCAGCUUGUCCAGAGGUGUCUUCUCAUUCCACCAAGGAAAAGCACAUAUGGGCAGCCAGUGCUGAGCAGAGGAGAAGCAGGAAGGACCCCCGAAACCAAUGCUUUAGGCAGCUGCUAGGAAUAUCCUCCCCAAACCUCUUCCUGGGGCCAGCGAGGCUCCUCACAGCCUUCCUAGCACGUCGUCACGGCAGCAGCACCAAUGGAGAAACCCCCAGGAGCCAGAUAUCGCGAGAGCACAGCCUCACGUUGGCGCCAAAAUCUGUUAGCGAAAGUGAGCCCAGCUGCUUCCCGCUGGAAAGCCAAUAAAGAGUUGUGUUGCAGGAAGGGGGACCCCUUCCAGGGCCCGAAAGUGGGCUCUUGUCUAACACUCAGAAAUGAAUUGUCCAAGGAGACACACGUGCUGACAAAGCAAGAGAUUUUAUUAGGAAGAGGCGCCCCGGUGGAGAGCAGCAGGACUCUUUUCAGGUUUAACAAAACAACAGGAGGUAGAAGAAAUCAACAGUCAAGGACAAAAAAUGCUGAAGAAAAAAGGCAAAACCACCACAGAUCUUCAAGAAGGGAAAAUGAGUUGCAUGGAAGAUGGGCCCGUUUUGUUGCCAUGUGGCUCCCGGAGAAGAAAGCGAUGGAUUCCCGUCAUUCUGCAGAAAGGGUCCAUCCGUAUUGCUGCAGAUCCACCCACUGCUCUCGCAGCUUCAUCACUCUCCUCGCUGCGGGCUCCACGGUGGCUACAUUCUACCGCACAGUACUCACACUCAUCAGUCAAGGCCUUUCCACCCUCUGCAAGAUUCGGCCUUUGCUGCUUUCAGGUCUCUGUUCAAAUAUCACCUUGUCAGUGAAGCCUUCCCAACUCCUUUACUUAAAACAACACCCUCCCCUACUACUCUGUCACUCUCUGAGCCUCUCAUCCUGAUGUAUUUUUCCCCAGUGCACUUAUACUAACAUACUGUAUAUUUCCUUAUUUAUCCAUGUAUUAUCGCACUUGUCCACUAGAAUGUAAAACUCCAGGAGGGCAAGGAAGUAAUCUACUUGAUUUAAAAUUUUAUCUCCAGGACCUACAACAUUUAAU